UACGAAGGGGGCUAGCGUUGCUCGGAAUCACUGGGCGUAAAGCGCACGUAGGCGGAUUUUUAAGUCAGGGGUGAAAUCCUGGAGCUCAACUCCAGAACUGCCUUUGAUACUGGGAAUCUCGAGUCCGGAAGAGGUGAGUGGAACUGCGAGUGUAGAGGUGAAAUUCGUAGAUAUUCGCAAGAACACCAGUGGCGGAGGCGGCUCACUGGCCCGGUACUGACGCUGAGGCACGAAAGCGUGGGGAGCAAACAGG
rnacentral:rRNA from 1 species